rnacentral:rRNA from 1 species
UACGGAGGGUGCAACCGUUGCUCGGAAUCAUUGGGCGUAAAGCGCACGUAGGCGGUCUGUUAAGUCGGAUGUGAAAUCCCUCAGCUUAACUGAGGAAGUGCACUCGAAACUGCAGGGCUUGAGUAUGGAAGAGGGUCUCGGAAUUCCCGGUGUAGAGGUGAAAUUCGUAGAUAUCGGGAGGAACACCAGUGGCGAAGGCGGAGACCUGGGCCAAUACUGACGCUGAGGUGCGAAAGCGUGGGGAGCAAACAGG